CAGUUACCUUAAAAAACAUUUCCUUCAAAGAGUUUGGAAAAUGAGUGCAUUUCUCGUGAGAGAACUCUCACCAUCCCGUUUCCUGACUCUUACCUUCGAGGCGCAUCCCAACAUGGAGGCACUUCUGAAACCUGCAGAACGGACAGCGCUUCCUCUGAGCUUUGUCGAUCCGGCACUGCUGGUUGUCCACGCAGGUGUAGGUCUUGUUGUUCUGGACAGUUCUUUUGAAAAAUCCCUGCAGACGUUUAAAAAAAAAA